UAAGGUUACUGAUAUCUCACUCUUGCUCUGAAAGAGCCGACAUGAAAGCGCGAUGAAGGCACAUUUUUCGUUCUCUGCGUAACGCUGUCGAAGAAGAAAUCGGAUUUCGAAGAGCCCGAAAGAUUAGUUCGAAUGACGAGGAGUGUCACGCUGCCGCGGAAAAAAACUCGCUACCUGUAGAGCAACAAGGCAUCGGACGCAAUCAAAAAGAAACGAGAGGCGAAAAUACGAAAGUGGGAAAGGCGUACUGAUCGACGGGAAAAAAGUCCAAAAGUUCUACCAGAAAGUUCGGCGAUUUAAAGAAGGAUUCAAGACCGGGGCGUUUUCCUGUAAGAACAAAAAGGGCGAUCUGGUAACUGACGCACAGAGCAUACUUAAAUUAUGGAGGUAGGACUUCGCAAACUUGCUGAAUAGUGACAACUGUAAAUAUCACACACAAUAUGGAAAUCCCGAUCCCCCAGUCGUUGACGAUGGAACUGUCAUUUCACUACCCGACCAUGACGAGGAGCGAAGGGAAGCUGGUAAGAUGCAUGCAUCAGCUCCUAUGCAAAAUAUGGUCAGAUAUAGUCAACGUAACAGUUGAUUGAAAUGAUUCAUCCGUAUUGUGCGAAAGACUGAAGCCCACCAUCAAUCAAGUGAUUGGAUUUUAUCAGUGUGGUUUUACACCUGGAAAAUCUACAAUUUGCCAAGUGUUGAAAAAGGCCCAUGAAAGGAGAAUCGAUACACACCAUAUUUUUGUCGAUUUUAAACUGGCAUUCGGAAGCAUCAAAAGGAGUUACCUAUAUGUCGCGAUAUCUGAGUUUAGUACCCUCACAAAACUAAUACGGCUGUGCAAGAUGACUUUGAUCAAUACCAGCAACGCCGUCAACAUUGGCAAGGUCUGCUGUCAUCAAACAAACCGUCGUGCAGUCGCGUUUCGGCACUUACGCCACUGUUGACAGCUAUGAUUUUGAUGUAAGACUGAAUCGAUAAUAAUGCCAAUCUUGAAAUGCAAUGGAGAAUAUCUCUGGCCUGCAAGUGUAUGAGUGAGUAGGACUGGGAAGUCAAUCGAGUAUUAAAAUCCUCUGAAUGAACACAUAUACUACUUUAUAAGCCUCUCAUUAUGCCCGUCCCAUUACAAGGUGCAAAAGCUUGAGCGAUAUCAACAUCUGAUGAGGCGUCUUUGGAGUAUUUUUGAAGAAGAUUUUUGACCUUUGCCUGUUGACGAUGGCGAGUAUCGAAGGCAACGGAGCAAUCAGCUGAAUGAGCUUUACAUAGACAUAGAACAGUAAAUAAAGGUCCAGCGAGGGAGCUCAUGUUGUCCGAAUGGAUGCAAACGAAAAAACGUUUAUUUUGCUGUCAGCAUUUAACCUAAACACCAUGGGCUAUUUGUUAUGUUAUAAAAAUUGCAAUAUUUUCUGUAUUUGUUUAUACUUAUGUUUUUCGUGUUCAUUACUUUAUUAUUAUUAUUAUUAUUGUUAUUAUUCCCACGCCACCCCGCAUACCGUGCGAGGCGGAGUCAAUUUUCACACAUUCGGGAUGCAAGUCGUGUCGGUACUAAGUAUUUGUCUUUUGUAUUAUAUUUUGUAUUAUUUUAUUGUUAUUUAUGUCAAAGUGUUUUCGUUUUUUAUUACUACGUG